rnacentral:rRNA from 1 species
CUGGCUCAGGAUGAACGCUAGCUACAGGCUUAACACAUGCAAGUCGAGGGGCAGCGGGAAGUUAGCUUGCUAACGUUGCCGGCGACCGGCGCACGGGUGAGUAACGCGUAUCCAACCUUCCCCUUAGUAGGGCAUAGCCCGAUGAAAAUCGGAUUAAUACCCUAUGUUGUCUUAGUGAGGACAUCUGAGCAGGACCAAAGGUUUACCGCUAAGGGAUGGGGAUGCGUCCGAUUAGGUAGUCGGCGGGUAACGGCCCACCGAGCCAUCGAUCGGUAGGGUUCUGAGAGGAAGGUCCCCCACAUUGGAACUGAGACACGGUCCAAACUCCUACGGGAGGCAGCAGUGAGGAAUAUUGGUCAAUGGGCGAGAGCCUGAACCAGCCAAGUAGCCGUGCAGGAUGACGGCCCUAUGGGUUGUAAACUGCUUUUAUGCGGGGAUAAAGUUCGCCACGUGUGGCGUUUUGUAGGUACCGCAUGAAUAAGGACCGGCUAAUUCCGUGCCAGCCGCCGC